AAAAUGACUUUAUUAUAUAAUCUAUGAAAAUGAACUAAGGAUCCAUGAAGACAGUGGCAAGGAUAAAUUAUUCUCUGCUGCAUCUCACACAUCAGCAAGAACCAACACAGUGAAUCUGAUGAAAAGGAGAAACAAAAAGAGACACACCACAAACGAGUUUCCCUGACUAACAUGAGAGGAGCAGUAACUGCAUAUGGAGGAAGAAACAGGAGCAUCCACAGACAGCCUGAGAGUUUUUGGGGGCACCGUGAACAGCAGUCACCUCAGAGCAAGAGAGUCCUGGUGGCUGUCUGGGUUCUCUCCAGGAGCUCUGGCUUCAUCCCACAGUCCAGAGAAAUGAUCUGAGCUGGUGAGUCCAGUCAGUGUGUGUCAGAUAGUCGUCAACAAACUUGAGGAACCGUCCUUUAAACAGCAGCCAUUUGGACUCUAUGAACAAUCUGCUCCUCUCCCUUUACCAUGAUCUGGUUACGGGGUGCAAG